UUUUUUUUUACUGAUAUUUCUUGAUUUGAAUUUAAUUGCUACAUCGGGGAAUGGUCGAAAGGGUAAUUUAGUUCAAAACACGACUAUUUUGCCACAGUCAGGCCAACGGAAGCGUAUCAAUCCUUCGGAUUCUCCUACAAGUUUGUCUCGAUUAGAAUCCGCAAAAUGGAAUGAUUUGGUCUCAACGAGUUCUUUUUCAGAAGCUGAACUUUUGGAGUCACUCGAAGGGGAUAAUUUGGUGGGAGAUGCUUCUGCUGCUGGUGACAUAUACAGAACUGUUAAAUCUGAAGUGAGACGGGCUAUUUCUGACAUCCAAAAUGAGCUUCAGGUUGCUAUCAGGAGGAGUAAUCCAACUACUGACGUGGUCGAGUUAGUGUCAGACAUACAGCAUGAAUAUGCCGCAAACUCGAGCAGUCCCAAGAACGUGCUAGACAACUUCGAGCUGACCUAGCUGUAGAGGAACACCGGGGCAUGGAGCUUAGCAGGAUCUUGAAGGAAGUGCUUCCAGAUUCCAAGGCUCCUAGCACAAAGAAAUCUCGUCCACGAAGAAAAUCUGUAUUGAGAGAAGGAAGAUAUCAAAAUGUCUGACUGACGAUGCCCUUGCCUAUUUCGAUGAGUGUGUCUCGCUAUCAACAUUUGACGGUUCCGAUUUCUCAUCAGUAGAAGAUCCACUCAAAUGCGUGGGCACCGUCGAGUUGAUGGAGUAUCUUUUUCCGCAUGCGAACUCAACCAUUCCAGCCACCAGUCUCCCUAGUAUUCAUCUCCAUGAUACACAGGUGCAUCAACUGAUCGGCAAAUCAAGUUAUUUUGAGGAAUGUCGGUUCACAUUUGGCCAUGAUCCUUUGGAUUUAACAGCCAGUAACAGCAGCAUGAACAGACGAACAGACUCAAGACCUCUUCCAUCCAAACACUACUAAUAGCGAAUGGAGUCGAAAAAUCCGGUUUUCCUUUUCUCCUGAACCAGGUCCGAUAUGCGAGCUCCAACAAGACAUUAAAAAGUAUGUCAAAGGUUUCGAGAAAGACACCAGGAAGAUUGACAUUGAUUCGAAGAUCAUAAGAAGAAAUAGAUAUGAUCUGGACGAUUAUAAUUUGCAGACCUCGCAACAAAGCUUGUUGUUUGAUCACGUGUUCCUAAAAAACAGGUUAGAUUCUGGAAGUUUGCUUCUCUGCAACGGCGGAUGUUUUUCAGCUUCAGUUUUGCCUUUUGCUUCUUUAAUCUAAAUUUUAUUUUGUUCUGAACAUAAAUAAAUUUGAUAUUAUACUUCUAGUAUUUGUUUUUG